GCUCUGGAGGCCAUUCCUGUGUCCUGUGAGGAGCACCUCAUCUCCAAGGCACCCAGGUGGUGGAUCUUCACCUCUGAGGAGAAGAGGAUCAUGAUGAGGCAGCCACAGGAACCUGGAAGGGAGGGGGAGAUGCUGGUCACCUCAGCAAUCCCUCAGCCACGCUGUGUGAUGUAUGCUGCAGCCAAAUACCACAUGGAGAACGCUUCUAUGGCCCUUAACUUUAACGGGGAUUACUUUUGGAGUCCAAGCCAAUGGCUAUUGAAACGGGGAAGCUUUUCCAAGCGAAUUUGGCUCAGGACCAGGAGCACUUAGCAGGGCUGCUUUAGUGCCCUGAGCUGGUGAAGUAUCCGUGCUCACGUUCAGCUUUAAGUUGCUCAUUGUCCCACCGAGCACAGUGGAGCUCUCCGGGUGCUGAAGAUAAACACGUACCGAGGUCCUUUGUUAAACUGCGAUUGUAACGCUCACUCCCCUGCGGAGUCGGGGUGCAUCUGCCUGCCAGGCAGGCCAGCAGCCCGGAGAGCGGGUGUGUGCCGGGAUGGGGCCCCUCUGCUCCUCAGAGCGGCUCCUCAGAGCCCAGCAGCUGCUGCCAGCCUCUGGCUCCCCGGCUGCCCGUCUCUCCUGCCCUGGGGAAGGCUGUGCUGCUCGGGGUGCUGACCUCGCCCGGACCCUGCCAGCUGCACCGCUGGCACAUCUGGGUUGUUUUUCCCCCUGUUCCUACUCUGGCCUGGCUCCUGGGUCAGACUGUGUGCGGGGUGCCAGCGAUGCCACCCCAGCUCUGGGUGCCUGGGGCCCUUCUGUCACGGCCUCCUGCAGCUGCUUGCCCCUUCCCCUCCUGCCACCCACCCUCACGGGGGUUUCCUCGGUUUGUCUCUCAGCUUUAACUGGGAGAACGCGUGUUCUGCUCGGGCAGACGCCCGCCCUCCUGCCUUUGCAGCCCAGAGUCAGCGCAGGCACGGCUCAGCUGGCUCUGCUGGGCUGGGCAGCGGGUGCUGGCGAGCGAGGCCAGCCUCGGCACAGCCUGGGCUACUCACAGGAGAUGAAGCUCCAGAGGUACAGCCCCACGGGGCCGUGCAGCGUCUCGUAGGGGCUGCCAAAAGCGUUGAGCAUGAAGAACCCUGCUCCCACCAGGGCAAAUAUGAUCAGUACCGUGCAGAAGAGAAUGACACUAACGUGGAUACUCGCAGGGAUGAUUCUGAGCAAAUCUGGAAAAACUGAAAACAAAACAGACACAGAGUUAUUGUACACAUUAGGCAAAGUCGUCUCUGAUGUCAGGCCGGGGGUUCCUGCUCGUUUGUGUUAAAUGUUUUAAUCCCGCUCUUCUAAAUGCAACCAGAUGGAAUUACUAACUAGAAAUGGUUUUUCAUGGAUGCUUGGAGGCAGAAAAAUUCUGUGAAACUCAGAAUCAUAGACAGGCCAGGAGAGAGAGCAGCUCCAGGGAAAGGCUCUCCUCCCCUCCCUGAGGGUGGUAUUUGGUCCUCAGUGUGGGAAGCAUCUUCUGGGGAAAAGCCAGGACAUUUGAGGAGGCAGGUCUGGAACAAGUGCCGCUGAGGCCUCUCUCAGUGUUCUGGGGCUGAUCCCCCUUGGCUGAAGGCUCGGCCAUCCACUCCCCUCUGGGAGUGGGACAAUGAAUCUUUCUUUAGCGUUUGUUUCAUUUAUGGUCGUGAGGUCCCACAAAGGGUUGUGAUGUGGGAAGGGAAAUUAUGCUGUGAUUAUGGAUGCACAAAUUCAGGAAUAAUUUAUUUUAAAUAUUUUUAUGCAGCUUUUAAGCUACUGUUUCAAAUUGUGGGCCUGUUUGUUUGGAACACAGGGAUAGUCAUUCAGACAGCAAGGGAAAAUGAUUUUAAAAAUUUCCUGUUUGGCAAAAACAGGUGCUUUGGAAGGAACGGUGAAAUUCACUUCACUGCUCCUGAACCAUGGGGCACGAUUGAAGUGAGGUAAUAAUGGCUGGUGCUGCUUUGCUGUGGUUGUAAUGUGUGGAGAGUAACGCAGCCUCACAUGAUUACUCCUUCUUGUAAAGUCUGUACCAGCAAACUGCUCUGCAGCUCCACGCAGGAGCACAGAGCAGCAGGUAGAGGGGUACCAAACCCAUUUAUCGUCCUGACUAAACAAAAGGGAAAUUAACGAAACAAAUGUCUGCAGAGCGCAGAAGCUGAACCAGGCCAAGUGCAAGGUGCUGCACGUGGGCAGGGCAGCGUCAGCACAAACCCAGGCUGGCUGGGGUGGGCUGGGGGCUGCCCGAGGACAAGGAUGGGGUGCUGUGGAUGAGAACUCCCCGUGUUUUGGCCACGUGCUCGGCGCCCAGAGCUUCCCCUGCCCCGGGCUGGUGCCACAGCAGGACAGGGGGAUUCUGCCCCUCCGCCCUGCCCGGGUGCGACUCCAUCCACAGAGCUGCCCCAGCCCCAAAACAGCACGGGGUUGCUGAGUGAGUCCAGAGGAGCCAUGGAGCCGGGCUGGGAGAGCUGGGGGUGCUCAGCCUGAGGAAGGGAGACCUCAGAGCCCUUCCAGUGCUUCCCUGUGCAGGAUUCCUACAAGGGACACCAUUAGCUCCUGUGACGCUGUCUGAUGUUUUGGGAAAAUGUGCAGAACUCUGUAUUUAAUAAUACAAUUUGGUAUGGUUUGUUUUAAGAAAAUAAAUUACGGCGUGGUAUUGAA